rnacentral:rRNA from 1 species
UGACCGCUGGCGGUAGGCCUAACACAUGCAAGUCGAACGGCAGCACAGUAAGAGCUUGCUCUUACGGGUGGCGAGUGGCGGACGGGUGAGGAAUACAUCGGAAUCUACUUUUUCGUGGGGGAUAACGUAGGGAAACUUACGCUAAUACCGCAUACGACCUACGGGUGAAAGCAGGGGAUCUUCGGACCUUGCGCGAUUGAAUGAGCCGAUGUCGGAUUAGCUAGUUGGCGGGGUAAAGGCCCACCAAGGCGACGAUCCGUAGCUGGUCUGAGAGGAUGAUCAGCCACAGUGGAAAUGAGACACGGUCCAGAGUCCUACGGGAGGCAGCAGUGGGGAAUGGUGGACAAGGGGCGCAUGUCUGAUCCAGCCAUAGCGGGUGAGUGAAGAAGGCCUUCGGGUGGUAAAGCCCUUUUGUUGGGAAAGAAAAGCAGCCGGUUAAUACCCUGCUGUUCGGACGGUACCAAAAGAAUAAAAACCGGCUAACUUCGU